ensembl:misc_RNA 7SK 7SK RNA
GGAUGUGAGGGCGAUCUGGCUGCGACAUCUGUCACCCCAUUGAUUGCCAGGGUUGAUUCUGCUGAUCUGGCUGGCUAGGCGGGUGUCCCCUUCCUCCCUCAACGAUCCAUGUGAGUCCCUCCCCAAGCUGCGGCUCGGUCAAAGAGGAUGACCACCCCCGAUAGAGGAGGAUCGUUCCUCAGUCAAGGGUAUAUGAGCAGCUGUGCUCCCCUGCUAGAACCUCCAAACAAGCUCUCAAACCAUGCCUUUCAAUGAUCCAAUGAAAACUUAGUAAUAUGAUCAUCUAUCUUACACACUUAUACAUACAUACAAUUAUAUCCUUUAGAGCACUUUAGUUAUAUCCUUU